AUUGAACGCUGGCGGCAUGCCUUACACAUGCAAGUCGAACGGCAGCACGGGAGCAAUCCUGGUGGCGAGUGGCGAACGGGUGAGUAAUAUAUCGGAACGUGCCCAGUCGUGGGGGAUAACGUAGCGAAAGCUACGCUAAUACCGCAUACGAUCUAUGGAUGAAAGCGGGGGAUCGCAAGACCUCGCGCGAUUGGAGCGGCCGAUAUCAGAUUAGCUAGUUGGUGGGGUAAAAGCUCACCAAGGCGACGAUCUGUAGCUGGUCUGAGAGGACGACCAGCCACACUGGAACUGAGACACGGUCCAGACUCCUACGGGAGGCAGCAGUGGGGAAUUUUGGACAAUGGGCGCAAGCCUGAUCCAGCAAUGCCGCGUGCAGGACGAAGGCCUUCGGGUUGUAAACUGCUUUUGUACGGAACGAAAAAGUCUGCCCUAAUACGGUGGGCCCAUGACGGUACCGUAAGAAUAAGCACCGGCUAACUACGUG
rnacentral:rRNA from 1 species